CCGUUGAAUAAGCACCGGCUAACUACGUGCCAGCAGCCGCGGUAAUACGUAGGGUGCAAGCGUUAUCCGGAAUUAUUGGGCGUAAAGGGCUCGUAGGCGGUUCGUCGCGUCCGGUGUGAAAGUCCAUCGCUUAACGGUGGAUCCGCGCCGGGUACGGGCGGGCUUGAGUGCGGUAGGGGAGACUGGAAUUCCCGGUGUAACGGUGGAAUGUGUAGAUAUCGGGAAGAACACCAAUGGCGAAGGCAGGUCUCUGGGCCGUUACUGACGCUGAGGAGCGAAAGCGUGGGGAGCGAACAGGAUUAGAUACCCUGGUAGUCCACGCCGUAAACGGUGGAUGCUGGAUGUGGGGCCCGUUCCACGGGUUCCGUGUCGGAGCUAACGCGUUAAGCAUCCCGCCUGGGGAGUACGGCCGCAAGGCUAAAACUCAAAGAAAUUGACGGGGGCCCGCACAAGCGGCGGAGCAUGCGGAUUAAUUCGAUGCAACGCGAAGAACCUUACCUGGGCUUGACAUGUUCCCGACGGUCGUAGAGAUACGGCUUCCCUUCGGGGCGGGUUCACAGGUGGUGCAUGGUCGUCGUCAGCUCGUGUCGUGAGAUGUUGGGUUAAGUCCCGCAACGAGCGCAACCCUCGCCCCGUGUUGCCAGCGGAUUAUGCCGGGAACUCACGGGGGACCGCCGGGGUUAACUCGGAGGAAGGUGGGGAUGACGUCAGAUCAUCAUGCCCCUUACGUCCAGGGCUUCACGCAUGCUACAAUGGCCGGUACAACGGGAUGCGACGCGGCGACGCGGAGCGGAUCCCUGAAAACCGGUCUCAGUUCGGAUCGCAGUCUGCAACUCGACUGCGUGAAGGCGGAGUCGCUAGUAAUCGCGAAUCAGCAACGUCGCGGUGAAUGCGUUCCCGGGCCUUGUACACACCGCCCGUCAAGUCAUGAAAGUGGGCAGCACCCGAAGCCGGUGGCCUAACCCCUUGUGGGAUGGAGCCGUCUAAGGUGAGGCUCGUGAUUGGGACUAAGUCGUAACAAGGUAGCCGUACCGGAAGGUGCGGCUG
rnacentral:rRNA from 1 species